GACGAACGCUGGCGGCGCGCCUAACACAUGCAAGUCGAACGGGGUCCUUUUAGAAAGCUUGCUUUCUGGCUGGACCUAGUGGCGGACGGGUGAGUAACACGUGAGCAACCUGCCCUGGAGUGGGGGAUAACAUUCGGAAACGGAUGCUAAUACCGCAUAACAUCCCGAAGUGGCAUCGCUUUGGGAUCAAAGGAGUAAUCCGCUCUUGGAUGGGCUCGCGCCCGAUUAGAUAGUUGGUGAGGUAACGGCUCACCAAGUCUGCGAUCGGUAGCCGGACUGAGAGGUUGAUCGGCCACAUUGGGACUGAGACACGGCCCAGACUCCUACGGGAGGCAGCAGUGGGGAAUAUUGGGCAAUGGGCGAAAACCUGACCCAGCGACGCCGCGUGGAGGAAGAAGGUUUUCGGAUUGUAAACUCCUGUCUUCGGGGAAGAUAAUGACGGUACCCGAGGAGGAAGCCACGGCUAACUACGUGCCAGCAGCCGCAGUAAAAC
rnacentral:rRNA from 1 species